rnacentral:rRNA from 1 species
CACGUAGGGGCCAAGCGUUGUCCGGAUUUAUUGGGCGUAAAGAGCUCGUAGGCGGUCUGUCGCGUCGGCUGUGAAAACUCGGGGCUCAACCCCGAGCCUGCAGUCGAUACGGGCAGACUAGAGUCCGGCAGGGGAGACUGGAAUUCCUGGUGUAGCGGUGAAAUGCGCAGAUAUCAGGAGGAACACCGGUGGCGAAGGCGGGUCUCUGGGCCGGAACUGACGCUGAGGAGCGAAAGCGUGGGGAGCGAACAGG